CAGGCCUUGGCGGUUCUGGUUUGCAGUUCUGGCAGCCCCGGCCCUGCGUCCCUCCUUCCCUGCUGCCACACGACUGAGCUUUGGCACCGAACCAAAGCUGAUGGAAAAACCUAGCCUCUAUCUGGAACACUGUCAAUCUGGCAGAAAGAAAAAGACAAGACAAAUGAGGCCCUGACUUCUACAACCUAGCACAAAAGUGAUCAACAUUUCUUUUUUGGCCAAAGCAAGUCACAUGGCCAUUCCCAAGGUCAACGGUGUGGGGAUAUAUCCUACGGAGAGGAGCACAGCUGGGAAAGAAACUGGAAAGUUUGGUGAACAAGAAGACAUCUCCCACUGCCUCCUCCUAGGACAACUUCCCUCCCAGAGGGAAAGCUGGCAUCAAGUGACUUUCUCCUCUGUAUAUCUGAGCAACGCAGUUUCUCCAUCUCUGUAUAAAGGUAA